rnacentral:rRNA from 1 species
CACGAACGCUGGCGGCAGGCUUAACACAUGCAAGUCGAACGCGUGUAGCAAUACACGAGUGGCGCACGGGUGAGUAACGCGUGGAUAUCUACCUUUUGGUUCGGAAUAACUCCGGGAAACUGGAGCUAAUACCGGAUGGUUCCUUCGGGAUAAAGAUUUAUCGCCAAAAGAUGAGUCCGCGUACGAUUAGCUAGUUGGUGAGGUAAUGGCUCACCAAGGCGACGAUCGUUAGCUGGUCUGAGAGGACGAUCAGCCACACUGGGACUGAGACACGGCCCAGACUCCUACGGGAGGCAGCAGUGGGGAAUAUUGGACAAUGGGGGCAACCCUGAUCCAGCCAUGCCGCGUGAGUGAUGAAGGCCUUCGGGUUGUAAAGCUCUUUUGGCGGGGACGAUGAUGACGGUACCCGCAGAAUAAGCCCCGGCUAACUUCGUGCCAGCCGCCGCAGUAACAC